GUGAGGAAUUUUCCGCAAUGGGCGAAAGCCUGACGGAGCAAUGCCGCGUGAAGGAUGAAGGCCUAUGGGUUGUAAACUUCUUUUCUCAGAAAAGAAUUAUGACGGUAUCUGAGGAAUAAGCAUCGGCUAACUCUGUGCCAGCAGCCGCGGUAAGACAGAGGAUGCAAGCGUUAUCCGGAAUGAUUGGGCGUAAAGCGUCUGUAGGUUGUUUAAAAAGUAUUCUGUCAAAGAUUAGGGCUUAACCCUAGAUAGGCAGAAUAAACUUUUAAGCUAGAGUUUGGUAGAGGCAGAGGGAAUUCCCGGUGGAGCGGUGAAAUGCGUAGAUAUCGGGAGGAACACCAAAGGCGAAGGCACUCUGCUGGGCCAAUACUAACACUGAGAGACGAAAGCGAGGGGAGCAAAUGGGAUUAGAAACCCCUGUAGUCCU
rnacentral:rRNA from 1 species